rnacentral:rRNA from 1 species
AGAGUUUGAUCCUGGCUCAGGAUGAACGCUAGCGGCAGGCUUAACACAUGCAAGUCGAGGGGUAACAGGGUGCUUGCACCGCUGACGACCGGCGCACGGGUGCGUAACACGUAAGUAACCUGCCCUCAAGUGGGGAAUAGCCCCGGGAAACUGGGGUUAAUACCGCAUAUGGUCCUUCCACACAAGUGGAGGGAUUAAAGCCUUCGGGCGCUUGGGGAGGGGCUUGCGUCCGAUUAGCUAGUUGGUGAGGUAACGGCCCACCAAGGCGAUGAUCGGUAGCUGGUUUGAGAGGACGGUCAGCCACACUGGGACUGAGACACGGCCCAGACUCCUACGGGAGGCAGCAGCAAGGAAUAUUGUGCAAUGGGCGAAAGCCUGACACGGCGACGCCGCGUGGGGGAAGAAGGCCUUCGGGUUGUAAACCCCUUUUCUCAGGGAAGAAUAAUGACGGUACCUGAGGAAUAAGUCUCGGCUAACUACGUGCCAG